AGAGUUUGAUCAUGGCUCAGAGCGAACGCUGGCGGCAGGCCUAACACAUGCAAGUCGAACGGACCUUUCGGGGUUAGUGGCGGACGGGUGAGUAACACGUGGGAACGUGCCUUUUGGUUCGGAAUAGCUCCUGGAAACGGGUGGUAAUGCCGAAUGUGCCCUUUGGGGGAAAGAUUUAUCGCCAUUAGAGCGGCCCGCGUCUGAUUAGCUAGUUGGUGAGGUAAAGGCUCACCAAGGCUACGAUCAGUAGCUGGUCUGAGAGGAUGACCAGCCACAUUGGGACUGAGACACGGCCCAAACUCCUACGGGAGGCAGCAGUGGGGAAUCUUGCGCAAUGGGCGAAAGCCUGACGCAGCCAUGCCGCGUGUAUGAUGAAGGUCUUAGGAUUGUAAAAUACUUUCACCGGUGAAGAUAAUGACUGUAGCCGGAGAAGAAGCCCCGGCUAACUUCGUGCCAGCAGCCGCGGUAAUACGAAGGGGGCUAGCGUUGCUCGGAAUUACUGGGCGAAAGGGAGCGUAGGCGGACAUUUAAGUCAGGGGUGAAAUCCCAGAGCUCAACUCUGGAACUGCCUUUGAUACUGGGUGUCUUGAGUGUGAGAGAGGUAUGUGGAACUCCGAGUGUAGAGGUGAAAUUCGUAGAUAUUCGGAAGAACACCAGUGGCGAAGGCGACAUACUGGCUCAUUACUGACGCUGAGGCUCGAAAGCGCGGGGAGCAAACAGGAUUAGAUACCCUAGUAGUCC
rnacentral:rRNA from 1 species